UUCGACACAACACAUUACAUUAGUACAGACUACAAGUUGCAGUCGUGAGAUUCCAAGUACUGGUACACAGAGUAGCUAUAGUUAUCAGUGACAAAAGUUUGCUUUUUCACUUCGUAACAUAAUAUACCUAGUAUCAAGAUCAAGAAAACCCAAUUGAUUAACUAACACGUGUUUUAGCAUAUUAUUUUCUCAAUCAAGUCGAGGUAUGGCGCGUUCGGCCUUGAUUAAAAUGAUAAAAUUCGAUAACAGUCUUCCUAGACGGUUGGCUUUGAAAUAUAUGGUUUUCCGGUGGUUCAUAGACCACAAUUGUUUAUUUGUGGAGGGCGACAAAAAAGUUGCACGAAAGCCGGAAAACUGGAAAAAGAGUAACGAAUUCGCGUUAUACAUAGGCGCUCAUCAUCUCACAUUGAUGUUCACGACCGAUAAAAAAAAUGUGAAAAAGCGAUGCAUGAUGAUCUAUUUAAUAUAUCAAAAGGACCCGACAACGAUCACAAGCGACAUUACUCGCGUUGUAGCAGUAUUCUUGGAAACAUUACCGAAAACUUACACAGACACAAACAAGCCUACUCGUCCUGACUACAACUGUACCAAUUAUUAUAACAAGUUGUUCCAUCAAAUGACGAUGGAAAUGUAUGGUGAUAUUUUAAAGCCAUUGACGUGCAACUACCCAAUCAGGGAUAUACCCCGUCAACUCGAUCUUUUCGAAGAUAUGGAAUUCGAAUAAAAUCAUCGAAGUUAAUUUCCUCAAAAGAAUACGUUAGAUGAGAUGAGAUUAAUCUGUACCUGCCAUUCAUUCUCCAACAUGUAAAGCAUCAAAAUGAAAAUCACUCAACUUACAACCAUUUAUCGGCAAAUUCUUUUAAAUUUUGACUAUCGAGGUUUUCGACCAGCGACGUUUUACUACAUACACAUUAAUAUCAUAAUAUCAUUUGUGUGUUUGAAUUAUAUUUAGGUUUUAGCGUUUUAAAUUUUAUAAUUGAAUUAAUGUCCAUUUAAUAUCGUGUAGGGAUACUUCGAACUUUUUUGCUCGUAACUGUUUGAGUUGUACGUAAAUUAGCGUGUAAAAUUUUUGUGAAUCAUAAUUCUUGCAAAUUCUUCCAAUUUUUAGUGGAUUUUUGUACAUAGUUUUUUCAAAUUUUUGAAGUUGUGUGUCAUUUUAAUUUUAUAACUGGAUCAACGUACUUGUAAUAUCGUUGCGAUUUGAACUUUUUGGCUCGUGACUGUUUGAGUUCUAUGUAUUUUAUAAGUUAACGUGAAUAAAUCAGCAUAGGAAUUGUGUUAUCAA